CCUGGAUCUCCGUGGAGUCAAAGUGGACGCUGCGAUUGGGGCUACGCAGAGUCCUGUGACCUCCGGGGUAACACUCUGGAGCUGGAAGUUCCAGAUCUGUGAAUUGAAUCAUGAGGAAAUGAAAAACUGCAGUAUCUCAGACCCUGUUUCCCCCCGGAGUCGUGUCUCUAUCUUUGACUGAGUCCUAGUGUGAGGUCUGACGACAGACAGGAUGAAGAUAGACAAAAGAAAAGCCUGCGAGGGAAAUAUGGAGGAGUUCACUUUCUCCCCUGACACUGCAGGUCAUCUAACCUGUGGACCUGCAGACUGACAGGAAUGCAGCCUCACGGUCCACGUCUGCAGUUUUGUCCUUUUUACAG